rnacentral:rRNA from 1 species
GACGAACGCUGGCGGCGUGCUUAACACAUGCAAGUCGAACGAUGAAGCAGAGCUUGCUCUGUGGAUUAGUGGCGAACGGGUGAGUAACACGUGAGCAAUCUGCCCUUGACUCUGGGAUAAGCGUUGGAAACGACGUCUAAUACCGGAUACGACCAUCCCUGGCAUCGGGAGGUGGUGGAAAGAAUUUCGGUCAAGGAUGAGCUCGCGGCCUAUCAGCUAGUUGGUGAGGUAAUGGCUCACCAAGGCGACGACGGGUAGCCGGCCUGAGAGGGUGACCGGCCACACUGGGACUGAGACACGGCCCAGACUCCUACGGGAGGCAGCAGUGGGGAAUAUUGCACAAUGGGCGAAAGCCUGAUGCAGCAACGCCGCGUGAGGGACGACGGCCUUCGGGUUGUAAACCUCUUUUAGCAGGGAAGAAGCGAAAGUGACGGUACCUGCAGAAAAAGCACCGGCUAACUACGUGCCAGCAGCCGCGGUAAUACGUAGGGUGCAAGCGUUGUCCGGAAUUAUUGGGCGUAAAGAGCUCGUAGGCGGUUUGUCGCGUCUGCUGUGAAAUCCCGAGGCUCAACCUCGGGCCUGCAGUGGGUACGGGCAGACUAGAGUGCGGUAGGGGAGAUUGGAAUUCCUGGUGUAGCGGUGGAAUGCGCAGAUAUCAGGAGGAACACCGAUGGCGAAGGCAGAUCUCUGGGCCGUAACUGACGCUGAGGAGCGAAAGCGUGGGGAGCGAACAGGAUUAGAUACCCUGGUAGUCCACGCCGUAAACGUUGGGAACUAGAUGUGGGGACCAUUCCACGGUCUCCGUGUCGCAGCUAACGCAUUAAGUUCCCCGCCUGGGGAGUACGGCCGCAAGGCUAAAACUCAAAGGAAUUGACGGGGGCCCGCACAAGCGGCGGAGCAUGCGGAUUAAUUCGAUGCAACGCGAAGAACCUUACCGAGACUUGACAUAUACGAGAACGGGCCAGAAAUGGUCAACUCUUUGGACACUCGUAAACAGGUGGUGCAUGGUUGUCGUCAGCUCGUGUCGUGAGAUGUUGGGUUAAGUCCCGCAACGAGCGCAACCCUCGUCCUAUGUUGCCAGCACGUAAUGGUGGGAACUCAUGGGAUACUGCCGGGGUCAACUCGGAGGAAGGUGGGGAUGACGUCAAAUCAUCAUGCCCCUUAUGUCUUGGGCUUCACGCAUGCUACAAUGGCCGGUACAAAGGGCUGCAAUACCGUAAGGUGGAGCGAAUCCCAAAAAGCCGGUCUCAGUUCGGAUUGAGGUCUGCAACUCGACCUCAUGAAGUCGGAGUCGCUAGUAAUCGCAGAUCAGCAACGCUGCGGUGAAUACGUUCCCGGGCCU